rnacentral:rRNA from 1 species
ACUCCUACGGGAGGCAGCAGUGGGGAAUAUUGCACAAUGGGGGAAACCCUGAUGCAGCCAUGCCGCGUGUGUGAAGAAGGCCUUCGGGUUGUAAAGCACUUUCAGCGAGGAGGAAAGGUCAGUAGCUAAUAUCUGCUGGCUGUGACGUUACUCGCAGAAGAAGCACCGGCUAACUCCGUGCCAGCAGCCGCGGUAAUAC